rnacentral:rRNA from 1 species
UUAAAUUAGAGUUUGAUCCUAGCUCAGGGUGAACGCUGGCGGCGUGGAUGAGGCAUGCAAGUCGAGUGGGUUUAGACCCACGGCAGACGAGGUAGGAACACGUAGGUACGUACCCCAAAGUCACGGAUAACCCGGCGAAAGUCGGAAUAAUACGUGAUGGUCUCGCAAGAGUAAAGAUUUAUCGCUUUGGGAACGGCCUGCGUUCUAUCAGCUUGUUGGUAAGGUAACGGCUUACCAAGGCUACGACGGAUAGGGGAGGUGAGA